rnacentral:rRNA from 1 species
UACGUAGGGCGCAAGCGUUGUCCGGAAUUAUUGGGCGUAAAGGGCUCGUAGGCGGUCUGUCACGUCGGGAGUGAAAACUCAGGGCUUAACCCUGAGCCUGCUUCCGAUACGGGCAGACUAGAGGUAUGCAGGGGGAGAACGGAAUUCCUGGUGUAGCGGUGAAAUGCGCAGAUAUCAGGAGGAACACCGGUGGCGAAGGCGGUUCUCUGGGCAUUACCUGACGCUGAGGAGCGAAAGUGUGGGGAGCAAACAGG